UCCCUGGUGGCUCAGACGGUAAAGCGUCUGCCUAUAAUGCGGGAGACCUGGGUUCAAUCCCUGGGUCGGGAA
rnacentral:tRNA from 1 species